rnacentral:rRNA from 1 species
GUGCAAAGGUAGCAUAAUCAUUUGGUUUUUUAUUGGGAUCUGGUAUGAAUGAAUGAAUGGAUAAGAGCUGUCUUUAGGUUUUUUGUUGAAUUUAAAUUUUUAGUAAAAAUGCUAGAAUUAAACUAUGGGACGAUAAGACCCUAUAAAGCUUUAUUUCCUUUAAAAAUUAAAAUUUUUUCUAGUUUGUUAAAGGAAUUUUACUGGGGCGGUAGCUAUUUAACUUAGGUAAGAGGAGUUUGAUCCAAUAUUAUUGAAAUAAGAUUAAGUUACUUUAGGGAUAACAGGAUAAUAUAUUUUUGGAGUACUAAUCGAAGAUUAUGUUUGUUACCUCGAUGUUGAAUU